AACGCACAUUGCGCCUCUCGGUAUUCCGGGAGGCACGCCUGUUCGAGCGCCAUUACACACUCCAAGCGAAGCUUGAUGUUGGGCGAAGCGGUACCCACCGCCCGCCUGGAACGCGUGGGCGCCCGCCGCCGGACCGCGAACGUAGCAAGACAAUCGUCAAGUCGUUCUGCGGGCUCCGACGGGGGGCAGCCUCAUGAAAACAUUUUUAUAUCCAGUUUGGCCUCGGAUCAGGCGGGGAUACCCGCUGAACUUAA
rnacentral:misc_RNA from 1 species